rnacentral:rRNA from 1 species
AGUGAACGCUGGCGGUAGGCCUAACACAUGCAAGUCGAACGGCAGCACAGUAAGAGCUUGCUCUUACGGGUGGCGAGUGGCGGACGGGUGAGGAAUACAUCGGAAUCUACUUUUUCGUGGGGGAUAACGUAGGGAGACUUACGCUAAUACCGCAUACGACCUACGGGUGAAAGCAGGGGAUCUUCGGACCUUGCGCGAAUGAAUGAGCCGAUGUCGGAUUAGCUAGUUGGCGGGGUAAAGGCCCACCAAGGCGACGAUCCGUAGCUGGUCUGAGAGGAUGAUCAGCCACACUUGAGCUGAGACACGGUCCAGACUCCUACGGGAGGCAGCAGUGGGGAAUAUUGGACAAUGGGCGCAAUCCUGAUCCAGCCAUACCGCGUGGGUGAAGAAGGCCUUCGGGUUGUAAAGCCCUUUUGUUGGGAAAGAAAAGCAGCAGGUUAAUACCCCGCUGUUCUGACGGUACCCAAAGAAUAAGCACCGGCUAACUUCGUG